UCAAGUAGGAAAAUACAUUUAAACAACACUCACUACAAGAAAUAUUGGUUUUGAUAGCAGUAGAGGAUAGCGUUUUUUGUCUUUCUGCUAUGGUUGACAUACCCGUUUGUUUUAGAUAGCGUUUGUAUAUUUUGAAACGCUAUGACAGAAUAGUAUAUUUGGAAACGUUAUGAUAGCGGAUGUCUAAUAGCAAAAUAAUUAAAACGCUAUGUUUGGUUUAUCUAAUCUAAACCCUAAACAAGUUUUUAAACCCUAAACUCCAAGUAUAAACCUUAAAAAUCUUAUAUUCUCAUACUAUAACUUCAAAUCUUGAAUUUUAACUCAAAUUUAUUCUUCUUAAGUUUAAUAUAUAACUUCCAAACACACAAACCUUAAUUCCUCAAUCAAACUCUAUACCCUAAAUCCUAACAUGAAACAUAUAUAAACCAUGCAUCCAAUACAUAUAAAUUUCAAAUCUAAAAUUUUAUUAAUCUAACAAAUUUUAAAUGUAAAUCUUAAUCACAAAUCCUUAUAUAGUAACUAUAACCCUUGUACUUUCAAAAUGUUUAACCCUAAAAUCAUAACAUAAAACACUUUACACAAACUAAUUAUAAAAACCCCAUUAUGCAGUUUUUGAAAAUCAUAUAACCAGAAAAAUCUAAUCAAAAUUUAUAUUUCAUAUGUUAAAUUACAAUAUAUAAUCUUUACAUUUAGGCAAUUUAUAAAACAAUUAAAAAGAAAUCUAAAAACAAUUUUAUUGCUUCUUUUUAUGACCAUUGAUUGAUUCUAAUCUAAGGGCUGAGAUUUUUCUUUUGUCUAUCUCCAACCUUCUCUGUCAUUGGUUAAUUUUUUUUCUCAAAGAUCACGGUUCUUAGCCAUUGAUGCAACGUAAUCCAAAGGCCACAAUUUAGUCUUUCUCUUUCUCACUUAUCUUCCCUUAUCUUCUCCUAUACGACUUUUUAUUUUGCUUUCUUCAGCAACAACAUCGACAAUUAAUCCAAUGAGGGCAAAGCAACUGGUUGUUGGACCACCAUGGAAGAAGAGACGAUGGCACCGGUCUGAGUUCGUCGCUGUCGUCACCGGUCUCGAACUCGGAGGGAGCAUGGUGGUGCUUAGUAGCGAGGGUGAUUUCUGAAACGGCGGCGGAGAGUGGAGGCGUGAAGAGUUCGAGGUGGUGAUGAAGUUUUGUCAAAGCAAAGCCCUCGCAACAUCGCAGUGCUCAUCCUCUUGUCCGGUGACGUUUUAAAACUCCUGAAGCAGCCAAUGUCAGGAUUACACAGGUGAAGUUUGGAUUGUUCUUUUAAGAUGUAUCCUCGGAUUUGAUUAGUGAAUCACGUGUUCUGUUCUGAGACUUUCAUUUGAUUCUUAAGAUGGCAAAGGAAUCUAGCGGUGGUGGUGGAGGUGAAGCCGAGCAAGAAGAAGAAGAGAGGUGGAGAAAGAGAGACGACAAAGACACACAAGGAAGAAGAGGAUACGGCAAGGUGGAUGGGAGAAGACAACACAUGCGGCUGAGAAGAUUAGAUUUAGGUUUAUUUUUUAAUCUGGGUUUAGGGUCUUUUUAAUAUUGGGUUUCGUUUUUGUAAUACAAUUUUAAUUAAUAAAUUAAUUUUAAUUAUAAAUCAA